rnacentral:tRNA from 1 species
GUGGAUGUAGCUCAGUUGGUAGAGUGCUUGGCUUGCAUGCAAAAGGCCCUGGGUUCAAUCCUCAGCACUACA